UACAGAGACUGCGAGCGUUGUUCGGAUUCAUUGGGCGUAAAGGGUGUGUAGGUGGCGCCGUAAGUCGGGUGUGAAAUUUCGGAGCUUAACUCCGAAACUGCAUUCGAUACUGCGGUGCUUGAGGACUGGAGAGGAGACUGGAAUUCAUGGUGUAGCAGUGAAAUGCGUAGAGAUCAUGAGGAAGACCAGUGGCGAAGGCGGGUCUCUGGACAGUUCCUGACACUGAGACACGAAGGCCAGGGGAGCAAACGGG
rnacentral:rRNA from 1 species